CAUCCAUCCAUCCGUCCGUCCAUCCAUCCAUGCCGCCCUUUCUCCUUCCUCCCGUCCCUGCCCCUCUCCUUCUCUAUCCGCGCCCCGGGACCGCGGUUCCGGUGGGUGCAGCGCUCGGUCCCGGCGCGGUUCGCGUCCCCUCCGCCCCCCGUGACUCGCUGCCUGCUCGGCAGGGCCCGCUCGGGGCAGCGGCGACUUUUCCCCCGGGCUCCGACUUGGCUCAAAAGAAGGAAAUGCGUUUUUCACAGGUUUUUCUGACCCAACACACCGUGAUCUGCACAGCGGCCGUCGCUCAGGCUUACUACUCCGGCACUGUAAGAUGCAAUACUAUUGUAUACCGCAAAUAAAUCUGCUUUGAGUGAUGCAAAUCUAACUGAGUGUCCUGAGAGUGUCGUAGCCGAGGUCACAGAUGCAUCAAGCAGCUUUCCUGUCAGCUAAUAAUGAUACCUUUGAAUCAAGAUGUUCUGCCGGAUUUAAGAAGCAGCGUUCUUUAUUGUUUCUCUCUUGCACCCGCGGGGGUAACAGGGGGGUUCCGCGGGCUCCGCCGCCGCUGGCCCCGGGGCGAGCUGCGGGGCAGCGCUGCGUGCGGAGAGGGGCGCAGGGAGAGCUCGGCUGUGCCUCCAGGAGGGUCCGUGAUCCCAAGAGAAACUCCGGGAAUUGGUUAGAGCCUGUUGCGGACGCUGCUGGCGAGCGCGGGCUCCAGGGCACCUGGGCUGGGUGUCUGGCGGCGGCAGCGCUCGGGCGGGCUGAGCCCACGCGGAAACGCAACUUGAGAUGCAAAGCCCGUGUCAGAGAAGUUGGGUUUUACAUUUUACCCUGUUCCUGCUCCAGUUUAUGUUGGCAGGGUUUGCCAGAAGGUUUUCAUUGCCCGCUGACAUGAGCUUAGCAAUGCGAGCUCCCCACCACCGACCGGAGGGGUGAUAAAUUAAUUGCCCUCACACCUGCACCUUUUUUUUUUUUUUUUUCCCAGUUUGAUGUUACAGACAGUUCUGUACUAAGUACGAGGUAUGGUGCAAUGCCAGGGACAGCCUAUGCUAAAUUACAAACAAAUCCACCCACACAUUACUAGAGAGUAACUAUAAUAAAGGCUGAAAAGCGAGUUUUAGCAAUUGGAUUAAAGCCAAUUAAUUCCUGGCACGAAUUGAAGCUAUAGGUAUGCUGUCAAGAUUAGCUACACGGCGUUCAUGUCUAUUACAGCUAUAUUUUAACUAAUGGUAUCUAUAUUAGUUCAAAACAGGAAGGAUUUGAUCCAGAACAUGAAGAAAAGGUGAAAAGCUUCACGUGCCCCACAUUGCAGGAAGUUCACAUUCAAGUCACAGCUAAAGUUUCUGUUUGCCUUCUCACAGCCUCUCUGAGCCAUUCGAGGUGGGUUUAUCCUCCAACGAGUGAGAGAAAUUAGGGAGCCGAUUAUUUUACUCCUUAUAAUGCCUGGUAAUAAUAUCUCCCUCCAGAAGCUAUUCUUUGAGGGGGAGGCUUUCGUGGUUUGUUUUUUUUUCCCUGCUGAUUCUGGAGCCGAUAGGGAAAA